rnacentral:tRNA from 7 species
GCCCUCGUAGCUCAGUGGAUAGAGCUAGGGAUUUCUAAUCCCUCGGCCGUAGGUUCAAAUCCUACCGAGGGCG